rnacentral:rRNA from 1 species
CGAAGGAUGCAAGCGUUAUCCGGAUUCACUGGGUUUAAAGGGUGUGCAGGUGGGGUAAUAAGUCAGUGGUGAAAGCCCCCGACUCAAUCGGGGAACUGCCAUAGAUACUGUUAUUCUUGAGUGUAGUUGAGGCAGAUGGAAUAUGACAUGUAGCGGUGAAAUGCUUAGAUAUGUCAUAGAACACCGAUCGCGAAGGCAGUCUGCCAAACUAUUACUGACACUGAAACACGAAAGUGCGGGGAUCAAACAGGAUUAGAUACCCUGGUAGUCCGCACCGUAAACGAUGAUCACUCGUUGUUGGCGAUAUACAGUCAGCGACUAAGCGAAAGCAUUAAGUGAUCCACCUGGGAAGUACGACCGCAAGGUUG